UACGGGGGGGGCAAGCGUUGUUCGGAAUUACUGGGCGUAAAGGGCGCGUAGGCGGCCUACUAAGUCGGACGUGAAAUCCCUCGGCUCAACCGGGGAACUGCGUCCGAUACUGGUGGGCUCGAAUCCGGGAGAGGGAUGUGGAAUUCCAGGUGUAGCGGUGAAAUGCGUAGAUAUCUGGAGGAACACCGAUGGCGAAGGCGGCAUCCUGGACCGGUAUUGACGCUGAUGCGCGAAAGCCAGGGGAGCAAACGGG
rnacentral:rRNA from 1 species